AUGGCACCACCACAUCCCCCUCCCUCGGUCCCGCUGACCCCGGGGGCACAGCGGCCGGGUCCCUUUGUGGUACCCUGGGGACCUGCCCGAGGAUGCUGCCCGCAGCGGUGGCCGAGCAGCCUCCUGCGGUGCGGGGACCCCCCCCAACAGUGUCCCCAUCCCUGGGGACGGCCAGGCCCUGCCACCUCGCCGCCUGGCACGACGCGGGGCAUUGAGGACACAGCGCGGCUUUGUCCGCCCCGCGCCCGCCGGGCAGGGACCUGUUGCCCUCUGCAGGCUUCCCCAGCCCUGCGCCAGCUCCAGAGCUGCAGCACCCAUGGGGAAUGGGGUCCCCAGGGAGCUGGGGGCACCUGGAGGAGCUGGGGACACCCGGGGGAGCUGGGGACACUUGGGGGAGUUGGGGACCCCCAGGGGAGCUGGCCCCACCUGGAUCCCUCGGCAUCAUUUGGGGACCCCUCUGCAGGCCCCCUCCUGGGGGCCAUGCCCGCUGGAGCCCUGUCCCCCGUCCCACACAGGGGACAUUGCCCCUACCAGCAGGAUUCCCACCCAAACAGAGCAAACACCCGGAGCACCGAGGCUGGAAGCAGGUGCCUGGGCCGGGGGGGCCAGGAGGAGGCAGAGGGACACCCCCCCAUCACCUCCCUCACCGCUGCGGGGCUCAGCCAGCAGCAACCUCAGCCCAGGUGGGCUUGGGGGUCCCCAGAGCCACCGCAGAGGGGCCACCCAUCACCCCCUACACCCCCCCAAGCUGCUUUUUUCCUAUUGCAAAGCCUCCCCCCCCCGCCAGCCCUGCGCGCCGCUGCCGUGCCCACGCAGCACCGAGGGGCUGGCAGCCAAGGGGUGCUGCUGGGGGGGCCGGGGCGGGGAGGGACGGGGGCUUGUCCCUUUAAGGGGGGUGGCUGUCACGCAGAGAGCCCUUUUCUUUGCUGGAGAGGGGGACAGGCACCCAGAGGGCACGGUACAGGGCGAGGGACUGCCAGGAGAGGCGAGGGCUGGUCCCAGCUGCAGACAGAGCCCAGGCAGCUGAGCGCACGGGGAGCGGACCGAGUCCGGCACCAUGGGUGA
rnacentral:lncRNA from 1 species